GACGAACGCUGGCGGCGUGCUUAACACAUGCAAGUCGAGCGGUAAGGCCCUUUCGGGGGUACGACGAGCGGCGAACGGGUGAGUAACACGUGGGUGACCUGCCCUCAGCUCUGGGAUAAGCCUGGGAAACCGGGGUCUAAUACCGGAUAUGACUCCAUGACGCAUGUUGUGGGGUGGAAAGCCUUGUGCGGCUGAGGAUGGGCCCGCGGCCUAUCAGCUUGUUGGUGGGGUGAUGGCCUACCAAGGCGACGACGGGUAGCCGGCCUGAGAGGGCGACCGGGCCACACUGGGACUGAGACACGGCCCAGACUCCUACGGGAGGCAGCAGUGGGGAAUCUUGCGCAAUGGGCGAAAGCCUGACGCAGCGACGCCGCGUGAGGGAUGACGGCCU
rnacentral:rRNA from 1 species